GACGAACGCUGGCGGCGUGCCUAAUACAUGCGAGUAGAACGCUGAAGAGAGGAGCUUGCUCUUCUUGGAUGAGUUGCGAACGGGUGAGUAACGCGUAGGUAACCUGCCUUGUAGCGGGGGAUAACUAUUGGAAACGAUAGCUAAUACCGCAUAACAAUGGAUGACACAUGUCAUUUAUUUGAAAGGGGCAAUUGCUCCACUACAAGAUGGACCUGCGUUGUAUUAGCUAGUAGGUGAGGUAAUGGCUCACCUAGGCGACGAUACAUAGCCGACCUGAGAGGGUGAUCGGCAACACUGGACUGGAACAACGGCCCGGACUCCUACGGGAGGCAGCAGUAGGGAAUCUUCGGCAAUGGGGCAACCCUGACCGAGCAACGCCGCGUGAGUGAAGAAGGUUUUCGGAUCGUAAAGCUCUGUUGUAAGUCAAGAACGGGUGUGAGAGUGGAAAGUUCACACUGUGACGGUAGCUUACCAGAAAGGGACGGCUAACUACGUG
rnacentral:rRNA from 1 species